rnacentral:rRNA from 1 species
AUUGAACGCUGGCGGCAGGCCUAACACAUGCAAGUCGAACGAGUGGCGGACGGGUGAGUAAUGUCUGGGAAACUGCCCGAUGGAGGGGGAUAACUACUGGGAACGGUGGCUAAUACCGCAUACAAUCGGAUGGGCCAAAAUGGGAUUAGCUAGUAGGGGGGGUAACGGCUCACCUAGGCGACGAUCCCUAGCUGGUCUGAGAGGAUGACCAGCCACACUGGCACUGAGACACGGUCAGGACUCCGACGGGAGGCAGCAGGGGGGAAUAUGGCACAAUGGGCGCAAGCCUGAUGCAGCCAUGCCGCGUGUAUGAAGAAGGCCUUCGGGUUGUAAAGUACUUUCAGCGGGGAUGCGUUACUCGCAGAAGAAGCACCGGCUAACUCCGUGCCAGCAGCCGCGGUAAUAC